rnacentral:sRNA from 1 species
AGCGGACUGCUCGAGCUGCU